rnacentral:lncRNA from 1 species
AUCCCGCUAGCGAGCCGCGUUCUUACCCUUCCGGGCCCCGCUGCCCCGGCAGCAGACACAGGAGCCUGCGGGCGUGUUGCGGGCGCGCGGGAGGACCUGCGUGAGUCGGGGCACGGGGAGGCGCCGGACUGACGUGUGCACCGUGUGUGCGUGCGCAGGGACACGCGGGUUCUUGCUGGAAACCUCGGCCCCAGUGGCAGCGCUCGGGAAGGGGGAGGAGGCCUUCCGAUUCUCUGAGCUGUGGCCCGGAGGUCCCUGCGCUAAUGGAAGACGCGCGGGGCUCCUGGGCCUCCUGCUUGGCCUCCGCGCUGCUAGAUCCCCCGGGAGUUGAUGUGGCCGGCGCUGGACCCAAGCCUCGCCUGGGUGGACAAAGUGGCCCCCGGCCCCCCAUCAAAGCCCGCGUGGGCCCCAUCCCCCGAGGGCAGUCCCAGGCCCAGCGCGGACACUGGGCGCCUGGGGCGGCGCAGAUACAGAGUAGAGGCGGCGACUGUUGCUCCCGAGCUCCGCGCUCCGGAUACAAUGUGUCUGGCGCCUCCGACCCGCCCGCGCGGCGUCUAGACAAUCUCAGAGAAAACCCCUGUGCGCCGAUUUUGCACUACAGAUUAGCGAUUUUCUCCUGUAGCAAAGCUACUAGCAGCCAAUUUCCAUGCAUUUGAGAGGCAAAAAGACAAAAUAAAACAAAACGUGGAUUGGGUUUUGCGAGGUCCCUGCUGGGUCUCUCGGCGCGAGGAGAUCACGCCGGUUAUGGCCGGCCGGCCGACUGAGGGCACCCCGGGUAACCCCCGCGACCAGCCGGGGCGUGUCCUGCGGGACCCAGUUAGUGUGUGUUGAGUGAACGGUCACCUCGCUGCUAGGCCUAAGCGAGUGGUCUCGUUCACCACUGAGUGUCCCCUGUGUUACGCGCGAGGCCCACUCGAAGCAGGUUUCGAGAAUUAAUUCGUAGAUGGACGAAGAUUCUACACAUCCUUCGCCUUUGAUCAACAAACGUCCUGGAAGGCUUGAGGCGUCUAGGGCCCUGUGGAGGAGGUGCCGGGUUACAGAAUCAGGACACUCCUCACAGCCAGCUGCGACACUAUCUAAAGCAGUGGGCAACUGGGGCUACGGAGGAGGCAAUCAGGACUGGCUGCUGGGAAAAGGCGGCAGAUUAAAAGUGGCGACUGGAGUUGGAAAAGGUGCUCCAGUGGGAUAGGGUGCUGAGGAAGAGGGCAGCUGAUACAGAGUGGGAGUGGGGUGCAGACAGGUUACCUAGGCCCUGUGUAGGGGCUGGGGGAGGGGUGACUGGGAAUGUAAGGAAGAGCCCCCUUCAAGAUCCUGAGGAGUGUAGGACGGAUUCUAUGACCCUCCCAGGCGCACGAGUUGCCUGGGAACUCUGGGCUUCCCAGCCUGGUGGUCCCCACCCCGCACACUGAGACUGGUGGGCAGGGGGAGGACAAGAACUCAGGGAGGCCGGGCGGGACAAGGCGGGGCUCCAGGAACCCCACAGGGCUAGGAACAGAUGCCGGUGCAACCCAGUUUUGAGGCUGGGAGCAAAUGUCGAAGGGCUUCCUCCCCUCCAGCGCCACCUCUCAACUCCGCUUUAAAGAACCAAUCUGGGCCGGGUGCAGUGGCUCAAGCCUGUAAUCCUAGUACUUUGGGAGGCCGAGACAGGCAGAUCACUUGAGGCCAGGACUUCGAGACCAGCCUGGGCAACAUGGCAAAACCCUGUCUCUACUAAAAAUACAAAAACUAGACGGGCGUGGUGGCGCGCGCCUGUAGUCCCAGCUACUCAGGAGGCUGAGGCACGAGAAUCGCUUGAACUUGGAAGGAGGAGGCUGGAGUCAGCUGAGAUUGAGCCGCUGUACUCCAGCCUGACUGACAGAGUGACAUUGUCCCCCCCCCCCAAAAAAAAAAAACAAAAAAAAACAACAACUUGGAAAGAGUUCUUCAUGGCCUCUGCUACCCUGGGCCCCUUCGCCAGCUCCCCUAGGUGCUAGUUUCAGAUUAACCACUCACUUAGUGGCUGCGUGACCCAGGCAAGAAGGCUGGCCUCUAAGAGCCUCAGCUUCAGAGUGUUGGUGUAAGUUUAAAAUGGGACACAUAAAGAGUAGGCACUCGGCCCCGUGCAGUGGCUCACUCCUGUAAUCCCAGCACUUUGGGAGGCUGAGGCGGCUGGAUCACCUGAGGUCGGGAGUUCGAGACCAGCCUUACCAACAUGGAGAAACCCCGUCUCUACUAAAAAUACAAAAAUUAGCCGGGCAUGGUGGCACAUGCCUAUAAUCCCAGCUACUCGUGAAGCUAAGGCAGGAGAAUUGCUUGAACCCAGGAGGCGGAGGUUGCGGUGAGCUAAGAUCUCACCAUCACACUCCAGUCUGGGCAACAAGAGCGAAACUCUGCCAAAAAAAAAAAAAAAGAAAAAAGAGUAGGCACUCAUCAGUAACUGGGCCAGGCUCAGAGGCACAUGUGGGUAAUCCCAACUGUUUGGGAGGCCAAGGAGGUAGGAUGGCUUGAGGCCAGGAGUUCGAGGGUGCAGUGAGCUAGCAUCCCACUACUGCACUCCAGCCUGGACCACAGAGCAAGUUCCCGUCUCAAGAAAUAGUAUUAGUAAUUUUUUAAAAAACAAAAUCAGCUGAGAUCUGCAGGUGCCAUAAUCACUAGAAUCCAUUGACCCACCACAACCCUGAGGGAGAGGGGAAACCCCCUGAGCCCCACCUCCAUUCCAUCUGCCACAGCUGAUUGGGUCAGGGUUGGGCCCCUGACCCAAGCCAGGUCAAUCAGAUCCUCUCUUGCAAACCUGAACUGAGAAACCCAGGGAUGAGUAUGGCAGAGGGGAAAAUGCGGGAGCUUUCAAGGCCCUUGGGGAGACCUGGGUCUGGCAUCCCUGUCGGUGUUGCGAAGUUAACGAGGGCUUUUCACAGAACAGAGAAUGGAGCAGCCGCUGCAGAGGGUGGCUCUGGGCCCCUGUUCCUUGAGUGCCCCCCUGUUCUUGCCAUGCGUGGGUUUCCCUGUUCCACUUCAAUAACCCCACUUGAGCUUGACCCAGCUAGAGCAAGUCCCUGGCGAAGACAGUCAAAUCUUGGUGGGUGGAGAAGGAGGUUUGUGGGGACAGGACAAUCCUAACCUCAGUUUUUCUCUGGGCGAAUGACCCUGUUUCCCUCUCCUUUUGGUCAGCAAGCUUUCAUGGAGCUGACUCCAUCCCUGACUCCAAAGCCUUCCUGGGAGUGGCCACAUGGCCCAGUCUGACCAAUUAGAGCCCUGUAUACCUCUCCUGCCCCCGCCUCUCCGCCCCCACAUCCUGGCCUCCCACCGCCCCCGAUCCCCGCCCCGCAGGGAUGGACCAAUGAGACCAGAUGAGAAUUCCUGGGGCUACAGGAAUAAAGACUCCCUGAAAAUGAAGUAAGCCCAUAAGAGAAAGGCAGAGAUGAGGUCCUGAAUCUAGCCAUGCCGGAGACUACACCCUGUACUUACCAGCUGCCUGAGCCAACGGCCUCCUGUUUUGCCUAGUCCAGUUUGGAUUGUUUUCUUCCAGAUGCUAACUCAGUUCCUCUCCUCCAUUCAAGAAGAACAAUGUAAAACAUCCAGGGAAAAUGAGAUUUUUCUUUCAUUGUUAAUAUUGGAAUGGGUUACCAAUGUAAGACUAUUUCAUUUUAGGGAGUUUUUGGUUUUUGUCUUAUCUCUAACUUACAGCCUUAGGGCUUCUACUGUAGAUAUUUAUCAAAGUGGAAAGCAGCCAAUUUAUGAUCAGAAUCAUAAACCUAUUCCA